rnacentral:rRNA from 1 species
UGCAGUCGUACGGUAAUUCCGGUGCCUAGCAUCGGAAACGAGUGGCGCACGGGUGCGUAACACGUAUGCAACCUACCCUGAACUGGGGAAUAACCCCGCGAAAGCGGAGCUAAUACCCCAUAGUAUCCUUUGAAGGCAUCUUCUUAGGAUUAAAGCCUUCGGGCGGUUCAGGAUGGGCAUGCGCCCCAUUAGCUAGUUGGUGAGGUAAUGGCUCACCAAGGCCGUGAUGGGUAGGGGUUCUGAGAGGAUUGUCCCCCACACUGGUACUGAGACACGGACCAGACUCCUACGGGAGGCAGCAGUAAGGAAUAUUGGGCAAUGGGCGAAAGCCUGACCCAGCCAUGCCGCGUGCAGGAUGACGGCCCUAAGGGUUGUAAACUGCUUUUCUAUGGGAAUAAACUCCCGAACUUGUUCGGGACUGCAGGUACCAUAGGAAUAAGCAUCGGCUAACUCCGUGCCAGCAGCCGCGGUAAUACGGAGGAUGCAAGCGUUAUCCGGAUUUAUUGGGUUUAAAGGGUGCGUAGGCGGGCAUCUAAGUCAGAGGUGAAAAACCCGGGCUCAACCCGGGCUGUGCCUUUGAAACUAGAUGCCUUGAGUGCAGCCGAGGUGGGCGGAAUGUGGAGUGUAGCGGUGAAAUGCAUAGAUAUUCCACAGAACACCGAUAGCGAAAGCAGCUCACCAGAGUGCAACUGACGCUGAGGCACGAAAGCGUGGGGAGCAAACAGGAUUAGAUACCCUGGUAGUCCACGCUGUAAACGAUGAUCACUAGUUGUUGGCGAUAAACUGUCAGCGACCAAGCGAAAGCGAUAAGUGAUCCACCUGGGGGAGUACGUCCGCAAGGAUGAAACUCAAAGGAAUUGACGGGGGCCCGCACAAGCGGAGGA